rnacentral:tRNA from 1 species
GGCAGUGUGGCUCAGUGGAAAGAGCUUGGGCUUCGGAGUCAGAGGUCAUGAGUUCAAAUCCCAGAUCUGCCA